UACGUAGGGGGCAAGCGUUGUCCGGAAUCAUUGGGCGUAAAGCGCACGUAGGCGGCCCGGUAAGUCCGUUGUGAAAGUCCGAGGCUCAACCUCUGGAGGCCAAUGGAUACUGCCGGGCUAGAGUCCGGAAGAGGCGAGUGGAAUUCCUGGUGUAGCGGUGGAAUGCGCAGAUAUCAGGAGGAACACCGGUGGCGAAGGCGGGUCUCUGGGCAGUAACUGACGCUGAGGAGCGAAAGCGUGGGGAGCGAACAGG
rnacentral:rRNA from 1 species